rnacentral:rRNA from 1 species
CACGUAGGGUGCGAGCGUUGUCCGGAAUUAUUGGGCGUAAAGAGCUCGUAGGCGGUUUGUCGCGUCUGCUGUGAAAAACCCGAGGCUCAACCUCGGGCCUGCAGUGGGUACGGGCAGACUAGAGUGCGGUAGGGGAGAUUGGAAUUCCCGGUGUAGCGGUGAAAUGCGCAGAUAUCGGGAGGAACACCGGUGGCGAAGGCGGUUCUCUGGGCCUUACCUGACGCUGAGGAGCGAAAGCGUGGGGGAGCGAACAGG